rnacentral:rRNA from 1 species
UGAAGCAGAGGACAGUGGCGGACGGGUGAGUAACGCGUGAGGAACCUGCCUUUCAGAGGGGGACAACAGUUGGAAACGACUGCUAAUACCGCAUGACACAUUGAGGUCGCAUGGCCUUAAUGUCAAAGAUUUAUCGCUGAAAGAUGGCCUCGCGUCUGAUUAGCUAGUUGGUGAGGUAACGGCCCACCAAGGCGACGAUCAGUAGCCGGACUGAGAGGUUGAACGGCCACAUUGGGACUGAGAUACGGCCCAGACUCCUACGGGAGGCAGCAGUGGGGAAUAUUGGGCAAUGGGCGCAAGCCUGACCCAGCAACGCCGCGUGAAGGAAGAAGGCUUUCGGGUUGUAAACUUCUUUUGCCAGGGACGAGUAGAAGACGGUACCUGACGAAUAAGCCACGGCUAACUACGUGCCAGCAGCCGCGGUAAUACGUAGGUGGCAAGCGUUGUCCGGAUUUACUGGGUGUAAAGGGCGUGUAGCCGGGAGGGCAAGUCAGAUGUGAAAUCCACGGGCUUAACUCGUGAACUGCAUUUGAAACUGUUCUUCUUGAGUAUCGGAGAGGCAAUCGGAAUUCCUAGUGUAGCGGUGAAAUGCGUAGAUAUUAGGAGGAACACCAGCGGCGAAGGCGGAUUGCUGGACG